rnacentral:rRNA from 1 species
CUACGGGACGCAUCAGGCGAGAAAACUUUGCAAUGUGCGAAAGCACGACAAGGUUAAUCCGAGUGGUUUCUGCUAAAGGAACCUUUUGUCAGUCCUAGAAACACUGAUGAAUAAGGGGUGGGCAAGUUCUGGUGUCAGCCGCCGCGGUAAACCAGCACCUCAAGUGGUCAGGAUGAUUAUUGGGCCUAAAGCAUCCGUAGCCGGCUCUGUAAGUUUUCGGUUAAAUCUGUACGCUCAACGUACAGGCUGCCGGGAAUACUGCAGAGCUAGGGAGUGGGAGAGGUAGACGGUACUCGGUAGGAAGGGGUAAAAUCCUUUGAUCUAUUGAUGACCACCUGUGGCGAAGGCGGUCUACCAGAACACGUCCGACGGUGAGGGAUGAAAGCUGGGGGAGCAAACCGGAUUAGAUACCCGGGUAGUC